GCGGGUGUGGUGGAACUGGCAGACACGCAGGAUUUAGGUUCCUGUGCCUCAGGGCGUGUGGGUUCAAGUCCCACCACCCGCA
rnacentral:tRNA from 1 species